rnacentral:rRNA from 1 species
GAUGAACGCUGGCGGCGUGCCUAAUACAUGCAAGUCGAGCGAACAGACGAGGAGCUUGCUCCUCUGACGUUAGCGGCGGACGGGUGAGUAACACGUGGAUAACCUACCUAUAAGACUGGGAUCACUUCGGGAAACCGGAGCUAAUACCGGAUAAUAUAUUGAACCGCAUGGUUCAAUAGUGAAAGACGGUUUUGCUGUCACUUAUAGAUGGAUCCGCGCCGCAUUAGCUAGUUGGUAAGGUAACGGCUUACCAAGGCAACGAUGCGUAGCCGACCUGAGAGGGUGAUCGGCCACACUGGAACUGAGACACGGUCCAGACUCCUACGGGAGGCAGCAGUAGGGAAUCUUCCGCAAAGGGCGAAAGCCUGACGGAGCAACGCCGCGUGAGUGAUGAAGGUCUUCGGAUCGUAAAACUCUGUUAUUAGGGAAGAACAAAUGUGUAAGUAACUGUGCACGUCUUGACGGUACCUAAUCAGAAAGCCACGGCUAACUACGUG